GUCUGGGAGCUCGUCUAAUUCUGCCACUUUAAGGGUCUACUCUGCAGUCCUCAAAGUUCAGAUGAUUCUUCCCCAAACCAUCAAAGACAGCCCUGGCUGUCUCUGAGUUCUUAUGCCCAUGAGGAUGACCUAUGAAUCCCAGAAAGAUACAGAAUUGAGAAUCACCAGAGAACUCUGUUCCAGGAAUCAAGUGAUUAAAGUUACAGUUCCAGUGUCAUCACUAAAUAGCAAGGUGACCUUGGAUGCCUCAUUUUAUCAAAUCUCUCCAUUUUUCAACCUCUAAAAGUAGGAUAAUUUCACAGAUUUGUUAUAAGGAUGAAAAGAGAAAAUGGAUGGGAAAAGUUUGUGAAAGCCUUUGAGAUGUAGGACAAUAAAAAUGGGAAGAGAUCUGCUGGGAUGUUAUC
rnacentral:lncRNA from 1 species